CCUACGGAGGCAGCAGUGGGGAAUUUUCCGCAAUGGGCGAAAGCCUGACGGAGCAAUACCGCGUGAGGGAAGACGGCCUAUGGGUUGUAAACCUCUUUUUUCAGGGAGGAAUAAUUGACGUGUACCUGAAGAAUAAGCAUCGGCUAACUCCGUGCCAGCAGCCGCGGUAAU
rnacentral:rRNA from 1 species